AGCUCCGAGGUGUAACACAUCAGAUUGCAAAUCUGAAGAAGCAGGCUAAAUACUUGCCGGGGCUU
rnacentral:tRNA from 1 species